GAAAUACUCCCUCCGUUCGGAAUUACUUGUCUUGGAAAUGGAUGUAUCUAAAACUAAAAUACAUAUAGAUACAUCCAUCUUCAAGACAAGUAAUUCCGAACGAAGGGAGUAUAAG
rfam:Triticum aestivum genome assembly, contig: Triticum_aestivum_CS42_TGACv1_scaffold_113696_2AS